rnacentral:rRNA from 1 species
GACGAACGCUGGCGGCGUGCUUAACACAUGCAAGUCGAGCGGUAAGGCCUCUUCGGGGGUACACGAGCGGCGAACGGGGGAGUAACACGUGGGUGACCUGCCCUCAGCUCUGGGAUAAGCCUGGGAAACUGGGUCUAAUACCGGGGAUGACCGUUCCUCGCAUGGGGUUUGGGGGAAAGUUUUUUCGGCUGGGGAUGGGCCCGCGGCCUAUCAGCUUGUUGGUGGGGUGAUGGCCUACCAAGGCGACGACGGGUAGCCGGCCUGGGGGGGCGACCGGCCACCCUGGGGCUGAGGCCCGGCCCAGACUCCUACGGGGGGGAGGCGUGGGGGAUAUUGCGCCAUGGGCGGAAGCCUGACGCCGCGACGCCGCGUGGGGGAUGACGGCCUUCGGGUUGUAAACCUCUUUCGACCCCGACGAAUUUGGACGGUGGGGGUAGAAGAAGCACCGGCCAACUACGUG